UGGGAAAAUACCCAAUCAAUCCUAACCCAAAAAUUCUCUCCUUCCCGAUUACGCCGACACAGCUCCUCCACCGCCUGCGUUUUCCGUUCACCGUCCUUAACCGCCAAAUGGACCACCUCUCCUCGCUAAGAGCUCCACCGGCUUCUCCAUUCCGCCUCCUGUUAUUGCGUCGCGAGCGAGAUAGAAUAGCUGCGAUUUCGAUUGACGCAGCUCGCUCCCCCCUGUCCCUCGAUUUUCCAGCGCGACCGGCCAGGACCGGCUGGUCUAGGCACCCCACCUCGUCAUCGGUCCUUCUCCGACAGAUCCCGUUCCCAUUUCCGGUCUGAUUGUGGCGCUGUAGCGAGAAGUAGAGAGUUAAGCGGAGAGCAGCGCUUUUCCGAUCUUCCUAACCGGAAAAUUUUGAUUUCCGGCGUAUUUUACAACUGGACAAUUGGAGUUCUGCUGCUUCCCAGUAUAGCAAUCACAUGGUGGUAUAAGACCAUUCAACAUAUGAAAUUCAAGGUUGAUUAUAAUGCUCACACUUUUCGACUUGGAUUGCUUUCCGAAAUUGAUAAUACUGCUAAAUUACUACAUCCAAUAAACUCAUCUGCAACAAAUUUGGCUAGAAUUCUCAGUUCAUCCCUUAAUGGAACUGAUCUCUCGCAGUUUGACAUCAAUUUUAAGUUAGCUCCAAUGUUAUUUCAAGCAUUUUCAACAAUUCCACACGUACUGCAAGUAUCAUAUAUUGGAUUAGAAGGUUCAUUUUUCGCUUAUUAUCGCGAUAAGAAUCAGAUUUUUGCUAUGUAUUCUAAUUCUACAAAUUCUUCCAAGUCAAAUGAGUCCAUGAAAUACAUUUGGUAUAAGCAACUUGCAGACAAAGACACAGGAAAACUAUAUGGAGAUGCCAUCGAAUGUCAUUUUUAUAUCAUGGCUAAUGCAAGUUGGGUUCAAGAAGCCUUAAAUAGUGCUAAUGGGUAUGCUUCCAUAGGAAAUGGCUGGAGCAGCAGUGAAGACCUUUUAUUCCUAAAUUCUGUUAGUAUACAUGGAAAAGGGGUUCUCUCUUUAGGGUUUUCAGUUAAAGAAUUGAUCCAUUUCUUUGAUGGUAUUGAUCUUUUGGAUGGGAGCCUGUACUUGGCUACACAACAUGGAGAUGUGCUUAAAGAAGGUCUACCAGACACUCAAAUGGUGGUAAUUGGAAAAUCAGUUUCUUUCAACUGGAACAAACCAAGUGUUGACAAAAUAGAUAAUGUUGGAGUUGUUUCAUGCAUGCCUAAUAGUAGCAUGCCAAGAUCUUCUAUUUUGAGAAUUGGAGAAGCAAAGUAUAGGAUUUACUGUUCUCCACUCGAAAUUAUGGGAGUCCAAUCGGUAUAUGCAUUGGCUUUCCCAUACGAUGGAUUAAUGACUACCAUUCACAGGAGUAUAAAAAUUGCUCUCAUUCUAUUGAUGGUAAUGAUUGCUUCAGUCUUCAUUUUUAUUCUUAGUUUUGUGUUGUUAAUGGUUAGGGCUGCGACUAGAGAGAUAAGCCUGUGUUUGGCAUUAAUAAAACAAAUGGAAGCAACUCAACAAGCAGAGAGAAAGAGUAUGAAUAAAAGUCUUGCCUUUGCUGGUGCGAGCCACGAUAUUCGUGCUGCCCUUGCAGGCAUUACUGGGUUGAUACAGAUCAGCUACGAAGAAGUGUCUCCAGGUUCCGAUUUAAAGAUGAAUUUACAACAAAUGGAUGGCUGUGCAAAAGACCUAGUAGGUUUAUUGAACUCUAUUCUCGAUACAAGCAAAAUUGAAGCUGGAAAGAUGCAAGUCGAAUCAGAAGAAUUCGAUUUAGCCAACCUUAUUGAAGAUGCAGUUGAUUUGUUUCAUCCUGUUGGAAUGAGAAAAGGAGUAGAAGUUGUGUUGGAUCCAUGCGAUGGAUCUCUUAUUAGAUUUUCUCGCGUAAAAGGCGAUAGGGGAAAGCUGAAACAGGUUCUCUGUAAUUUACUUAGCAAUGCUGUUAAGUAUACUUCUGAAGGGCACGUAACAGUUCGAGUUUGGGCACAAAAACCCAGUUUAGAGAAUAAGAUAAUUGCUUCUAAUAGGAAUGGUUUGUGGAAAUUUUUUGGUUGCUGGUUUACUGAGAACAAAGAAAGUAAUGAUGUCGAAGAAAUAAAUUCAGUGAAGAAAAAACCAAUCUGUUUAGAGUUUGUGUUUGAGGUCGAGGAUACAGGUAAAGGAAUUCCUAAAGAGAAGCAAAAAUCAGUCUUUGAAAAUUUUGUUCAGGUUAAAGAAACAGCUUUUGGGCAAGAAGGCACUGGCUUAGGGCUUGGCAUUGUUCAGUCUUUGGUUCGUUUAAUGGGUGGAGAGAUAGCAAUUAUUGAUAAAGAGAAUAACAGAAGGGGAACUUGCUUCAGGUUCAAUAUUUUUCUUAUUACAACAGAUGGGAGUACUUCUUUGGCUAGUAACACAAGGGAUGGCAUUGAAAUAAGAAAUAUUUCCCUAUCUGAUAGCACAAAUCAAGAUUUAGGGUUAACUGUUAACGCUCUUACUCCUAGCUUACCUAUCUGCAAUUCUAGUCCCCGAUUAUCCAUUCUCGGUUCUAGCCCCAAGAGUGAUGAAUCUCAUGUUGUUCUGUUGAUUCAAAAUGCAGAGAGGCAAAAGAUUGUGCAGAAAUAUAUGGAGAGGUUAGGGAUAAAAGUAUCAGCUGUAAAUAAAUGGGAAAGCCUUCAUUCUACUCUGACAAAGAUAAAACAGAAGCAGAAUGUUUCGCCUUACAGCUCUUCAGGAAAAUCAGAUUCUGGUUCGAGGAGUGAAAUUUCUAGCAGUAGACAGAAAGAUAUUCCUUUAAGUGCUCUGGAUGGGAUAGAACAAGGACUGCCUUCUAAUAGAAGUAGGAGCAUUAUCGUUAGAGGUUCUUCAAAUUUUAUAUUGGUUGUGAUAGAUGCUAGUGCAGGACCAUUUCAACAACUCUUUGCAGCUGUAACUGAAUUUAAAAGAGGACUUCACCGAGCUUCUUGCAAAGUUGUUUGGUUAGAUAAACCAACAAUGCGGAACAUAAACCCUGGAGGCCUUGAAGAUGAUGACAUUUUGCUAAAACCAUUUCAUGGCUCUCGCUUGUUUCAGGUAAUUAGACUCCUACCUGAAUUUGGGGGUAAUUUGCAAAAUGGGGUUUCAUUAGCUAAACCUGAGAAAGAAUGCAGCAUUAGAUGUGAAAAAUCUGCUGAAUAUCCUGCAUCAUCGUCUGCAAUGCAUUCACAUAGCCAAAAAGGAGCAGUGAUUCCCCUGUCUACUGGAAAAUCACUCUGCAAAGGGAACAUGGUUGCCGAAGGUAGCUCGAGGAGGGAGAAAUACAAGAAAUCGAAGUAUGUUGUCGGAUCCUCAGAGAUAGAAGAAAAAUACAGUAACCAAAGCAGCAGCAAGAAGCCCUUAUGUGGAUUAAGAUUCUUGGUUGCUGAAGAUAAUCCCUUCUUACGCAAGAUAGCCAUGACUAAUCUUUCACGGCUUGGUGCAUCUGUUGAGCUCUGUCAAAAUGGAGAGGAAGCUGUGGAGCUAGUCAUUAUCGGUUUACAAGGCCAAAGGAGAAAUGCAACUUACUCCAUGCCUCCAUAUGAUUAUAUAUUAGUGGACUGUGAGAUGCCAAUAAUGAAUGGGUAUGAAGCAACGAGACAAAUAAGAAAGGAGGAGAGAUCUUAUGACAUUCACAUUCCCAUUAUAGCAUUAACAGCACAUACUUCAGGUGAUGAAGGCAAGAAGGCAAAGGAUGCUGGAAUGGACUUUUGUCUGCACAAACCACUAGAGAGAGAAUCAUUGCUUGAAGCCAUUAGAUGCAUAGAUAACAAAUAAAGACAUCCUUUGGUGCAUAUUACUAUUAGGUCUGUUUUGUGUUCAUUCAUUCAUUUAUUUAUUUCUGCUUCUUGCAUAUUAUAUAUGUACUAAAACAAAGCCCAAAAACACUUUUCCUAUAACAGUGUAAUUCCACUUAAACCAGGUUGUUAUGUAAUUCCCACUUUAACCUUCUUACCUUUUUCCAUGAUCUCACCGACUUCACUCUCUUUUUUUCUCUAGAAACUUCUAAUGUCGCAGAUGGAAAUAGUUCGAUUCUAAAAGGAGUAGUAGAAGGUCAGGAAUUGUGUGUCCGGUAUUGUUCGCGGUUAUUGGGUACUCUUCAUGGGCUGUUUACUUUUAUCAGUUUGAGGGUUUACCUUUGCCUCGUACUGCUGGCCAAAUCACCCUGUUGGGUCUGAUGGUCUUGGCCUUGCUUUACUGGUAUUUUGUGGAUUUGUAUGUUUGGUACCUGUAUAAUCUGAGAUGGUUUUCUUUGUUGAGGCUUUUUUGGUGCCUUAGUUUUUAAGGGAUAUAAAUUGACAGAAGAAACCGGAAUCACUGUUCAAGGAACAGUGUAAUGGCAAUUUAAGACAAGCAAUUUUGUCAAAAGACCCAAAACCUUAUCCAAACUGAUUUUCGUUUAUAAUUGUAAAUAGUCUCCCUAAAAUCUUGGUAUGGACACUUCUUCUCCCUUCUAAAAAAAUCCUCAUCUGUGUCAAAACUUGCAGUAGAUGGAGUUUAACAUGUCUCGUCUCAAGUAUAGUGCAGGGCACCUUGGGUAUUUGGAUCCUGAGUAUUAUAUCUCUCAGCAGUUGACGGACAAGAGUGAUGUUUAUAGUUUGGUGUCAUCCUCCUUGAGCUCAUGUCUGGUCAAGAAGCCAUACCAAAUGAAAGCUUUGGUGUUAAUUGCCGUAAUAUAGUUCAAUGGGUAAUUGAACUACUAAUUACAUUAAUAAAAUGUCUGUUAUGAAGAGUUAACGGUUGUAAUUUCGAAAAGGACAGUUUCCUAAACUGAAAACUUCAUGAACAAUUCUGGAAUGAUAUUAGAUUCUGUUCA